GCGGCGAGCGGGGCGGUGUGUCUGUCUCGGCUGUCACACCUGUCCUGAGGAAAGCCCUGUGGAAGGAGCUCGGUGCCGCGAUUCAGGACCCUGAGGCCACUGUGAAACUGCAAAUUCUUUCCAAGCUGUUGCCACCUCCGGGAAGUAAAGGGCUGCACAACCUGAUGGACUGCCUUCCUGCUGCUCCGGAGAGAGCAGGGAAUGAAGAGAGUGUGUGGUUGAAGAAGUGGACCCAGAUGACUGGUGUGACCUUGUGAAGACAGGGCUCAAGUACCGUUACAGAGAUGAAACAUUUCUGAAGGUCCUGAACGUUGCCAUCCAGUUACUAUACAUGAAAGAAUCCUCACUUAGAGCGUAGUCAAGCUCUCCAAACUACACAUGGUGCUCACACAGCACUCUCUAUUUUUGGCAGCCAUCCUGAGGUCAAGAGAAGAAGAUGGCAUGAGCGUCCAGACAAGAGACAGUGUUCCCUGGGAGGAAGGGCAGCCUUUGCCUCGCCUGCACAGCUCAGGUGGAUGUGACAGAAUUGCUGUGGUCUGCCAAGGCAUGAGCAGCUGUCUGUGCACUGGAGUGCCUUGAAACCUUUCUCUGUGAGGUUUUGGACACGUUUGUCUUUGGGAUUUCUUGUGACAGAGCACGCAGGACAGGAGAAAUCAUUGAGCUCCUCCCAUCUUUGCCAGAAGCUUCAGUGUUUAAGCAGCCAGAGCCAAGAGGCUUCAGCACCAGGGGUGUGCACUGGAGGGCUCCUGGUCCUGUCCAUGCUGUGGGGGAGCCAGGGCUGGCACAAGGACUCGUGCGGGUGCUGCUCUGGCACUGGACCUGUUUCCCUGUGGAGCCAUUUAAAAAUGUGAUUAUGGAACAUUUUGGAGGCCGUUUCUGGAAUUCCAUUUGUAGCUGGAUCUCGCUCUGAGUGCAGCAGUCCAGGUGAGGGUUCUGACCUCUCCAGACUUGUGCUCACCUUGGUACAGCCCGGGGCUGGAGCAGUUUUCCAGGGAAGUGGAGAUGGCUGAGGAUGGGUGCUCUGGAAAGCAGCAGGAAAUUCUAAUUCCUGUGGUUUUUGGGGAGGAGGUGCAGGUCACCCUGAGAGCUAGAUCAGAACUGGUUUGUGGUAAGGAGUCUGAGGUGUGUAAGUCCCACAGCUGGUAUGAGCUGUGUGCUAAAUGCAGUCCCAGCCCCAGAGGGAGGCUGAUGGGCGCUGCUCAUUGCUGUCCCCAGCUGUCCCCAGCCCGCUGCUCCCCCGUGGAUCUGCUCUGGAUUCGGGCUGUCGGUGCUGGAGCGCCCUGCUCCCUGCAGGGCCCUGCCCCUAACCCACGCAGAGAGAGAGAGCCCUGCUGGCCAGAGUGAUCUCUUUUCAUUUUUUCUCCCUGUGCUGUUAGCAAGGAAGGGAUGGGACUGCUCUUGGGCCGGGAGCACUCAGUGCUCAGGUGAACACCCGCCUGGGAGCGUGAGGGUUUGCAGAGCGAGCAGCUGCUGCGGCCCAGGAGCAGCCACAAGUUCUGUGUUCCAAGGCAGGCCAGAACUUUCUAACCCCGGGGUUUAUUUGGCUUUUGGAACCCAGCACCUCUGCUCAGUUCUGCCGCACUGAGGGUACUUUUGUUCAAUGCCUUCUGCUGGAACUUGUCAGCUCUCAGUGUAGCGCACACAGCCCCAGCCCUGCCCUGCAAACCCUUCCCCAUCGUGCCCACACAGUUUCUCUCUCACUCACUCGGGGCAGGCUCCUACUGACAGCCACAGGAACAGAAGUUAUUUUAUUUUAUUCUUUUCCUGCGUAAUGCCCGUGUCUUGUAUUGCUACAUCAAUCCCAGCUUCUCCCGAGGCUGCAGAUCAAAUCUUUCAGUGUCUGUGGGAGUUUCUGGUUUUCCCAUUCCCAUGUCUUCCCCCUCUCUCUGUAUGAAAAAAAAAAUUUAUUAGUGGAUUUGUUAAGCAUUUGUUGCAUGUAUUAACAUAAAGAAGGUGUUAUCAUUAUUAUUAUUAUUAUUUUAAUAAUAUAAUUAAAAUGUAUACUUUUGUUAUAAGAUUUUAAAUUAUGGUGUUAAAUUUUAUUUAUUGUUAUGUUUUAUUAGUUAUUCUUAUUUUUGAUAUUUCUUAAAGUUGUACACUUUAAUAAGUAGAUUUGGUGUUUUAGAUAAAUGUAUACAUUUUAUUAAAUUUUUAUAUUUAUAUUUGUAUGUUAAUAAAAUAAAUUUUUUUGGUUUUUUUUGUAAAA
ensembl:lncRNA